GUGCGAGGUGUCCCAGCCGCGCCCGGGCCCGAUGGAGGCGGGGGAUACCGGGCUGCCCUGUGCGAGGUGUCCCAGCCGCCGCCUCCUUGCUGCCGCCUCGGAGCUCCCCUGUGCCGCUGGCCUGGCGACAGCGUCCCGGGUCUCCUCAAAGAUCCCAGUGCAGGCACUUGGGUGAAGGUUUUCAUUUCCUGGGACUGUAAAUGUUCUUUUGAGCCUCAGGCAGUUCCCUGCAGCAGAACUUGGAGGAGAAACAUGUCAAACACUCUCCACUUGGGAGACAGCUGCAGCAGUUUCCUUCCUGCCCUUCCAGGGUCAGGAGUUGCAGGAAGGGGAACCCAAGACUGGCAAGUGUGGAAGUGACAAUUCCAGCAGUAGAACAGAGUCAGCCCUGCAGCAGCAGCUACAGUAGAAGCAACCCCUCCCCUGCUACAGGCCUAUAGAGAAUGCAGCACAGAUGAUGACAAGUGACACCGUCUGAGCAUCCCAGUGACAUGGGACAUCCCAAACACCGCUGUGCUGGGGCACUUACCCUGCCCAGUCUCUAAGCCCAGCCUUGUUCUGGUUCUGUCCUGGUCCCUACAGAGGGACUCUGGGUGGUGUUGGUCACUCCUUUAAUCUGCCAGUGCUUGGCUGUGGCUGAGCUGCAGCUCGGAGCCCGGCCAGGGAAAGCAGCUGAUUCUCCUUCAGAAGAGAGACUUGCACAUCAAUAAAUGUCUCAUUACAGAUGCUUUCUUCAGCCUCUUGGCUCUCAUUUCCUCUUUUGGCUUCCCCAGCUUUCUAUCCUGCUGGCUGGAAAGCUGCCUGUCUCCUGUGAGAGCUAAGGAAUGUUGGAACAGGGGCUGGAUGUAGCUCUGU